AGUGGGGAAUAUUGGACAAUGGGCGAAAGCCUGAUCCAGCCAUGCCGCGUGUGUGAAGAAGGUCUUCGGAUUGUAAAGCACUUUAAGUUGGGAGGAAGGGCAGUAAGUUAAUACCUUGCUGUUUUGACGUUACCGACAGAAUAAGCACCGGCUAACUUCGUGCCAGCAGCCGCGGUAAUACGAAGGGUGCAAGCGUUAAUCGGAAUUACUGGGCGUAAAGCGCGCGUAGGUGGUUUGUUAAGUUGGAUGUGAAAGCCCCGGGCUCAACCUGGGAACUGCAUCCAAAACUGGCAAGCUAGAGUAUGGCAGAGGGUGGUGGAAUUUCCUGUGUAGCGGUGAAAUGCGUAGAUAUAGGAAGGAACACCAGUGGCGAAGGCGACCACCUGGGCUAAUACUGACACUGAGGUGCGAAAGCGUGGGGAGCAAA
rnacentral:rRNA from 1 species